GGAAUAUCAAAUGUCGCAUUGUGGAUCUAGAAGACAAAAUUUUUAGACUAGAAGAUCAAGUCUUAAAUUUCGGAAAUGUGCAAGACGAAAAGGAAUUAAUUGCAACAAGACUUGAAUUGAAGGAUUGGAUUAAGCGGGAAGAAAUUUGCUUGGCACAAAAAACCAAAGUGAAAUGGCUAAAGGAGGGGGACGCCAACACCAAGUUCUUUCAUGCAUCAAUUGCAAAAUGUCGGAAAAAAUCUUGGUAUUACAACAUGACAUUACAGGAUGGAUCCACA
rnacentral:lncRNA from 1 species